CCUACGGGUGGCAGCAGUGAGGAAUAUUGGUCAAUGGGCGCGAGCCUGAACCAGCCAAGUCGCGUGAAGGAUGACUGCCCUACGGGUUGUAAACUUCUUUUAUAAGGGAAUAAAGUGAUGCACGUGUGCCUUUUUGUGUGUACUUUAUGAAUAAGGAUCGGCUAACUCCGUGCCAGCAGCCGCGGUAAUACGGAGGAUACGAGCGUUAUCCGGAUUUAUUGGGUUUAAAGGGUGCGUAGAUGGGUUGUUAAGUCAGGGGUGAAAGUUUGCGGCUCAACCAUAAAAUUGCCAUUGAAACUGGCAGCCUUGAGUACAGGUGAGGUAGGCGGAAUUCGUGGUGUAGCGGUGAAAUGCAUAGAUAUCACGAAGAACUCCGAUUGCGAAGGCAGCUUACCAA
rnacentral:rRNA from 1 species